rnacentral:lncRNA from 1 species
AUAGACAUACCCCUACUAUGUAUAUCUGUCUAAACUAUAACCGGAGAGGACUACAAUUAAUCCCUUAAACCCUUUAUCUUGUUUUCAUCUCCUGCUUGGUUCUACGUAAACACCUUUGCUGAACUGGAAGAUCCAACCAACUUAUACGAGCUUCUUGGAUGCGAAUGAAAACCUCGUGAAUUGCCCAGCAAGUUGACAUUCCUUUCUAGAUCCAGCACAUACAACUCUCUCCAGCCAGACAAUGAAAGGUGAGAAGGCUGGAAAGGAAACCGAAUCCUGCAAUGUCUAAUCAAUUUUAAUCAAAUCCGCUAAUUGAAUCAUCCACAUCCUUUAAAAAGGGACAUGGAAAUCAUGGAAGCAAGCCUCUGUUUUGGUGCAUUCUUCAUCCCUCAUGGCAUGUCAAAAAAAUUGAAUUUCUCACAGUGGAGAAAGAGUCUGUCAAAGUUAACUUUACCUGGAACUAAUAAAUUAUUAUAUUUCAUCCAAAGGGUUUCCAAUAAGUAGUUAUUCAAAGACUCAAUUUUUCAAUUAAUGUCUCCAAA